GACGAACGCUGGCGGCGUGCCUAAUACAUGCAAGUUGAGCGCUGACGGAUGGUGCUUGUGCCGACAGGAUGAGCAGCGGACGGGUGAGUGACGCGUGGGGAAUCUGCCUUUGAGCGGGGGACAACAUUUGGAAACGAAUGCUAAUACCGCAUAAAAACUUUAAACACAAGUUUCAAGUUUGAAAGAUGCCAUUGCCUCACUCAAAGAUGAUCCCGCGUUGUAUUAGCUAGUUGGUGAGGUAAAGGCCCACCAAGGGAAUGAUACUUAGCGAACCUGGGUGGUUGUCGGCCACAACUGGACUGGGACACGGGUCAAACCUCCUCGGGAAGCAACAGGAGGGGAUUAUUGGACAAGGGCGGAAAGCCUGACGAACAAAUACGGGGUGGGUGAGGAAGGCCUCGGGUCUGAAAAGUCUGUUUGUUGGGAAAGAAGUGCGUCAGGGUAAAACGCUGAUGUAGUGACGGUAACUACAGAAAAAGCAACGGCUAACUACGUG
rnacentral:rRNA from 1 species